rnacentral:rRNA from 1 species
GUCUGCAGUGAUAGCACUCUGAAUACACCUGAUAUCUUCAGAUUUCAGAAGCUACGCAGAGUCAAACCUGGUACAUGCAUGGGAAACAUAAAGAAAUUUUAUGAGGUUACACAAU